AAAAAAACUAAACCCAUCCAGAAUAGUGAACAAGAGUGUAAGGAUAUUACGUGUUUACACAAUUGGCAGAAAUGGAAGUAAUCAAGGCCGAAAAAAUAUAGAAAAUUCUAAAUGAUUCAAAACAAAUAUAAAUAUAAUCAUCGAAAAAUAUUGAUACUAAAAGCUUUAUGUGUUUAUCAAAUAAAUACAACCAAAAUUCAGUGGUAAAAAAACAAUUAAAAUGGUUUUUUAAACAAAAAAAAUUCCACGAACGUUUACUAGCUUUUUUUUUUAUAUGAAAUGGACUUGUUGAAAAAUAUUAAAAUAUAAACAGGCGUAUUUACCUAGAAAUUUCUUUAUAAAGCUGUAAUAUAAAAAAUUGUUUAGUGAUUUUUUUGAUCUUUUAAAUUAAUUUUAAGUAAAAAUAAAUAAAAACUGAAAUUCUUGAACACCUCUUAUACACUAUCCUAAGUGGAAUGGUGAAAGUAUUAAAUGAAAAUUAGUAGUCUAUCAUUUAUUUAAGUGGAUAAACUAUGUAGAAUUUAUAACUAUAUUUUAUAUAAAUUACAGAAUGCAGUAAUAAAAACAAACACAAAAAGUAUAAGAUUUGAACAUUAAUGUUUGGUUACACAACCACUAUUGUU